ACGCGGAUUACGGUGGCGGCCUA
rnacentral:sRNA from 1 species